UUGUCAAACGAUAACAUCCGUGAAUAUUCUGUCAAAAUUCAUAUACACAUGUGAUGUAAUUUUUUCUAAAAUUUAAUUUUACCCUUACCAGCAGCAAACCGAACUAAUUCGAUCCUUAACCGGUGACGAUAGCCCCCUCCACCUCCGGCCCUCUCUCUCUCUCCUUCUUCACCUUUGUUCUCUCUCCCUAUUUUCCCUGUUUCAUCACCCCGCUGCAGCGGUGGACCCCUCUCUCCCCUGUUUCUCCCGGCUUUGGGCACAAGUCGUAUCUCAUUUGAAGUUCUUCAACAUGCAUGUUAGGGAGUCGUGAGUAAAUGCUACCUACUUCAGUUUCCCCGUCAUCACCAACACCUCCGCCUCCCCCACCACCACCACUACCAUCGUUCAGAGACGAGAGACGAUGCCAACGAAGAUUUCUUAGGGAUGAGAAAUUGACCAAGGGCUUGGAGAGACUUAAUGAUGUUACCAAAAACAAGGGCUUCUUUUUUUGGAAAUUUUUAGAAGACUUCAUCAAAAUAAAUGAAAAACUGAUUUUCUUGACCGUGGAUUCUUGAUUAUCGAUAGCCUGAUACAAUGGGAGCGUAGAAAGCUCUACGGCUGUGCAAGGCCGAGAAAAGAAUAGAAACACACUUAGAAUCCAAAGAGACAGUUUGUGCUAGGGGAAACAAAUGAGUUUCUGUGAAGUAAUCGUAGUUUCAACUAUUCCACUGCCAGUUCGAAUAUCUGCAAGUGGGCUUUGGAGAAUAACGAUGUGCAACAACAAGAAGAACAAGAAGAAGAGAAAUUCAAAAUGGGGUUGGUCAGUUCAUUUUACUGUCAUUAGGAUAAUAGAUGUUGGGUUUUGACACGGUGGUGGGAUACCAUAUCUUCCUGUAGUUAAAGUUGAAGAGAAGAACCAAAACUACAAUUAAGGGUGAGCAAUCAAAGAAUACGGGGGCUUUGAGCAACUUCAACAACAACAUCUCCCCCCUCCUCUCAGAGAGAGCGGCGGUUCCAGCGGCGAAGAUUGGAAGCGGCGUUUUCGACUGGGCAUCGGAAAUAGAACCGCUGCGUUACAGCUUAGAGGGUGGUCGACAAGGCUCUCUCAUUUUUGAGCUCGACAGCCUCUCUAUCUCUUUUAUUCUCUCCCUUCUCUUUUCCCUCUUUCUCCCCUUCCUCUUUUCUCUCACGGCCGUCUACAUUCUCGGCUCUACUGCAGAUUUGAAGCCAUUUCCGAAAACAGAUCUGAAGCCACCGGCUCUACCAUCAUCAAAGCUCUUAGUGAAGAAAUAGGAAUUGAGGCCGAAGCUGGUAGCGCCUACUCUUGAGGAAGUUUCAAUGAUGUGCUCUGAGAGCUUCGUCGCUCUUUGAUAUACAUAGAAUAUCAAUGAAUUGGAUUGGGGUUUUUUGACAGAGGAGAUUGGAGUUUGAGAUACCUUUAGGGGAUCUUUUGCAUGAAAAAACCUUGGAGAUCUUCAAGGAGUCACAGCGUUUCUGAUGCUACUGGAGUUUCUUUGGGGCAUUUUCUACAGCAUCAAAUCUAGCGGGGGUGUGGCAUUUCAGAGCUCCACCCAGAAAGACCUCCGAUAGACGUUGCUCGAACAGUCUCCGAAGAACUACAUCUCUACAAGGUGCAUACCUCUCCGCGGUCUCGUGGAUGAACGAAACCCUCCAAACCAUCUUGUUACUCGGCCAAAUCCAUUUAGAGGAGGGGGGGAACGAAGAGGGGAAGGGGUGGAGAAAGAAGAUCACCACCGCUAUGGAAGUUGCAGCGGCGGCGGUGAUUUUGAUCAAUGAAGACCAGAUUGGACGCGGGCGGUGAAGACCAGACAAAGGAAGAAUUGGAGGAGCUUUCAAGGUUCCCUGGUAUUUCGGAUGGCAAUUACAGUUUUCCGGCAUUGUAGAUGGACGUUACAAUUCUUCGGGUUCUUUGAGUGGCAGCUCGCAAUCGACAGUCCUCUAAUGUGUUGGGUGGCAGUUGCAGAUGAUGCUGUCUUUUGCAGUUUGGUUUGGAGUUGUUGGAGGUUACAAAUCAUGGCUUGUGGCUUUGUAACCUCCUUUCUCAGUUUCGGUUUUAGUUGGAAACUGUUCUUGUCAGUUUGUUCGUCAGUUAUGGUGAUUUGGAGAUGUACUUAUCAACUUCUGUUGAUGAUAUUAAAUCACCUUAUUUUGAUUGUAGAAGUUA